UAAACUUUCCAGGACUUCCGGGAAGAAUGGAAGAAGCAAAAACUUAACCACUUACGCUCCCCGAAAGACACUCCUUUGGAACAGCUUAACUUAUUAAAACUAGUGGAGGCCCACUGGGUUUUUUCUUUUUCUUGCAGUUUGGACUUUGUUGCUACACCGAACAGCUGUCCAAAACCUUAGAUGGGCUCCGCCUGCGUUUCCCUAGAGUAAAGGAAACAACCCUCUACCUCCCUGUCCGUGCUUGAAAUGGACGCUUUUAAGCAAUGCCAUUAAAGUUUGUCAUCCCUGGAAAUCUGGAAGUCUUUCCUGAAAAGAGAAGUCCACAUACCACAAAUAUUAGAAAACAGGGACUCGUUCAUAAAGGGAUGAAUGGGUAAAGGGAUGGUGACAGAAAGAGAUGGCACCUAAGGAACAGAUGGAGAGAUAUGACCUUGCUCCACACUUCUUCUCUGAAGCUGGUACCCAGAGGAGGGUGCAGGGGCUCUCCAGGGGGAAGAAGAGAAGAAAAGCAACUGUGGAAAAUUGCAGGUUUCAGAAGACAGUUUUAAAAUCGAAGAGACCCGAUUUCUUCCUUGCACGAUGUCUUUCUUCUUUACUCACACUUCUAACAGAACAGGAUUUCUACAGCUCAUAUGGUUUUGUACAAAGACUUAAAAGGGUCACAAGAAACGUUUGCAGAUGAGAGAACUCACAUAAGCCUCCCCCUGACAGUUACUUUCUAAGCGCCACUUACACUUUCUCACUACAAAUGUAUUCAAGAGAUACUUUUGAUAUAUUUCUAAAAGAGUUUUUCCCCACAUUAUGUCUUACCAAGUCCAGGCUUUCUUAGAAUUAAAGCAGCAUUAGCUGCCUGGCCUUUCAACCAUUCUCUCUUAAUCUUAAAAUGGAAAGAGAAUUUGCUCUCCAUGUGAAUUCUUACUUUUUCUUCCAUAAACCGCUUACCGUUACCAUGGGAUUUAAUAUUUGUUAGUCCAUUUUACAUAAAGUAUAAGGUUGGACAAAGUAAAUGACAUUAGCAGUUAACCGGCAAGUUGGGAUUCUCACCCUUCUGAGACGAUCUCACGUUUCUUUUGUGCAGUUAUGUGUGUGGACGUGCAUCCGUGAAUCUAUGUGGGUGUGGGCUGGUGGCACGUAGAAUUUAGAAUUAUUAAAAAGUAGCUCCUUCUAAUUAA